rnacentral:rRNA from 2 species
AAAUUGAAGAGUUUGAUCAUGGCUCAGAUUGAACGCUGGCGGCAGGCCUAACACAUGCAAGUCGAACGGUAACAGGAAGCAGCUUGCUGCUUCGCUGACGAGUGGCGGACGGGUGAGUAAUGUCUGGGAAACUGCCUGAUGGAGGGGGAUAACUACUGGAAACGGUGGCUAAUACCGCAUAACGUCGCAAGACCAAAGAGGGGGACCUUCGGGCCUCUUGCCAUCAGAUGUGCCCAGAUGGGAUUAGCUUGUUGGUGAGGUAACGGCUCAC